AUUGAACGCUGGCGGCAUGCCUUACACAUGCAAGUCGAACGGUAACGGGCCUUCGGGUGCCGACGAGUGGCGAACGGGUGAGUAAUGCAUCGGAACGUACCUUUCAGUGGGGGAUAACGUAGCGAAAGUUACGCUAAUACCGCAUACUCUGUGAGCAGGAAAGCAGGGGAUCGCAAGACCUUGCGCUGAUUGAGCGGCCGAUGUCAGAUUAGCUAGUUGGUGAGGUAAAGGCUCACCAAGGCGACGAUCUGUAGCGGGUCUGAGAGGAUGAUCCGCCACACUGGAACUGAGACACGGUCCAGACUCCUACGGGAGGCAGCAGUGGGGAAUUUUGGACAAUGGGGGCAACCCUGAUCCAGCCAUGCCGCGUGAGUGAAGAAGGCCUUCGGUGUAAGACGUCUUUCGGU
rnacentral:rRNA from 1 species